GCCUCACACACCUCUUUGCAAUCAGCCAGCUUUCCUUGACUGAGUUCUUACUCCCUGCUGCUUGAGCCUGAGCCUCUCGCUGAACUUGGGAGUUUUGUCCUGGACACCAUUUGGCUCAGGUGCUGAUCCUGCUCCAGAGCUUUUUAGGAAAUGGUUCAUCUCCUGCCAGGUGUAGUUAAGAAAAAAGCUGCCUGCGCAAUCAGUCUGUAGCCACGCCCACUCGCAUGACAUCACUCGCAGGCCACGCCCCGCGCACCUGUGCGCCAGGUUCAGCUGGAGAGAGCGGAGCUGAUUUAGGGAAGGACACGAUUCGCAUUAAAUAUUGGGAGUUUAAACUUCGGUGUCUGCGGACAGGACAUGCUUGGCUCAGCUACUGGAAUUAUCAAUGAAAUGCAACGAAGUUCCAGUCUUCAUUCCGGUCGCUGCCUCGACUGAUAACUCGGAGAAACAGUAACGUGCUGUGUGUUUCUGUAUCUUAACUUGUAGUUGUUUGCAAAUGUUUUCUUACUCUGUUGACUUGUAACAGUAUUUUGCGUUAAUGUAGCCGUGCUUUGACACUUCGUAAUUGAAAUGCUUGUUCAUUUUCACUUUGAAGCCUGUGCAUCCGACUUAUUGUAAUGCUUUGUUUUGUAUGCCAUUUUCGCUCAAUAAAUGGUUGAUUGAACCUUGA